CCGAGUACAGGGCCCCCUCUGGGGGCCCGAACUCCCACCCACUGUUUACAGACCUCCGUUGCUUCGGCGGGCCCGACACGUCCCCCCCCGCUCUGGGGGGGGGCCGCCUCCUCCGGCCUCCUGGGCUGGACAGCGCCCGCCAGAAGACAAUCAAAACUCGUUUUUCACCGGCAGUCUGAGUAAAAUAACAAAUAAGUUA
rnacentral:misc_RNA from 1 species